rnacentral:rRNA from 1 species
UACGGAGGGUGCGAGCGUUGUCCGGAAUCACUGGGCGUAAAGGGCGCGUAGGCGGCGCAGACAGUCAACGGUGAAAGCUUGGGGCUCAACCCCGAGUCGGCCGUCGAUACUUCUGGGCUUGAGCACUGUAGAGGCAGGUGGAAUUCCGGGUGUAGCGGUGGAAUGCGUAGAGAUCCGGAAGAACACCGGUGGCGAAGGCGGCCUGCUGGGCAGUAGCUGACGCUGAGGCGCGACAGCGUGGGGAGCAAACAGG